GGACUAUUCAACUGAAAUAACGCACUACUCCCUUUCAAACUUGGCUGGGCGAUGGGAGUUUGGGAGCCCCGAAAGGCAGAAAAGCUGAGUUUCCUGGUGGGGUCUGCUCACUGUGCGCCAGGCGACUCCGCGGUGCGGGCAAGCCGGGGGGCCCGGAGGGCGCGGGCCGUGACUGCAGCCCCAGGUAAGGGCGGCCGGGAGCCCGGGCCUGGCCUCGCGGGCUUGCGCGGCGGGACCCGGCAACGCGACGGCCUUUCCGCGGCUCGCGCGUCCGCACGCUCUCUAGUAAUCCAACACCCCGACUUUCAAACGGGAGGCCGGGGGAGAAGUUCUAGCCUCGCGGUCCCCGUCCCCGGGUUGCGAGAGAGCGUGCGACCUACGCUCCAUGCGGCCCCCGAGGGCGCGCCGACCCGAGCCCCGGGCCCAGUCCACGGCGGCGGGAACCCGCACCGCCCGACGCACGGGGCGGCCAGGCCGACGGCGGACGGCGCGGCGGGAGACUCCGGGCCACUCACUCUGAGGGAAGCCAACCAACCAUCUUGGUCACUCAGGAAGCCUGUGGAGAGGUAUAUGUAAGAAGGAACUAGAGCUUCCAGCCAACAACCAACACCAACUGGCCAAUCAGGUAAGUGAGCCAUCCUGGGAGCAGAAACUCUGGCUACAGUCAAACUUUUGGGUAACAGUGACCAAACUUUGACAAGUGUACAUAACCCCCAGAGCACUACAACCCUGGGCUCAAGCCCCAGGACUGAAUAAACCAGACAUGGUGCACACGCCUAC
rnacentral:lncRNA from 1 species